GUGCAGCAGGCGCGAAAACUCCGCAAUACGCGAAAGCGUGACGGGGCUACCCCGAGUGUCGUCCGCUGAGGACGACUUUUCCACGCUGUAAGGAGGCGUGGGAAUAAGGAGAGGGCAAGUCUGGUGUCAGCCGCCGCGGUAAUACCAGCUCUCCGAGUGGUAGGGACGAUUAUUGGGCUUAAAGCGUCCGUAGCCGGCUCAGCAAGUCUCUUGUUAAAUCCAGCGAUUCAAUCGUUGGACUGCGGGAGAUACUGUUAGGCUAGGGGGCGGGAGAAGCCGACGGUAUGUCCGGGGUAGGGGCGAAAUCCUAUAAUCCCGGGAGGACCACCAGUGGCGAAGGCGGCCGACUAAAACGCGCCCGACGGUGAGGGACGAAAGCUGGGGGAGCGAACGGGAUUAGAUAUGAAGUUGAGUUUUUACCAGCUUCACUAGAUACCCCGGUAGUCC
rnacentral:rRNA from 1 species